UUCCGGUUGAUCCUGCCGGACCUGACUGCUAUCGGAUUGAUACUAAGCCAUGCGAGUCAUUGUAGCAAUACAAGGCAUACGGCUCAGUAACGCGUAUUCAACCUAACCUAUGGACGGGAAUAACCUCGGGAGACUGAGAAUAAUGCCCGAUAGAACAUUAUACCUGUAAUGGUUUAUGUUCCAAAUGAUUUAUCGGCCGUACUGAUGGACUGCGGCCUAUCAGUUUGUUGGUUAGGUAAUGGCCCACCAAGACUAUUCAGGUACGGGCUCUGAAGAGUAGCCCGGAGAUGGGUACUGAAGACACGGACCCAGGCCCUAUGGGGCGCAGCAGGCGAGAAACUUUGCAAUGUGCGAAGCACGACAAGGUUAAUCCGAGUGAUUUCUGCUAAAGAAAUCUUUUGUUAGUCCUAGAAACACUAACGAAUAAGGGGUGGGCAAGUUCUGGUGUCAGCCGCCGCGGUAAAACCAGCACCUCAAGUGGUCAGGAUGAUUAUUGGGCCUAAGCAUCCGUAGCCGGCUCUGUAAGUUUUCGGUUAAAUCUGUACGCUUAACGUACAGGCCGCCGGGAAUACUGCAAAGCUAGGGAGUGGGAGAAGUAGACGGUACUCGGUAGGAAGUGGUAAAAUGCUUUGAUCUAUCGAUGACCACCUGUGGCGAAGGCGGUCUACUAGAACACGUCCGACGGUGAGGGAUGAAAGCUGGGGGAGCAAACCGGAUUAGAUACCCGGGUAGUCCCAGCUGUAAACUAUGCAAACUCAGUGAUGCAUUGGCUUGUGGCCAAUGCAGUGCUGCAGGGAAGCCGUUAAGUUUGCCGCCUGGGAAGUACGUACGCAAGUAUGAAACUUAAAGGAAUUGGCGGGGGUGCACCACAAGGGGUGAAGCCUGCGGUUCAAUUGGAGUCAACGCCGGG
rnacentral:rRNA from 1 species